AGACAGGGGGCAGACUUCUCUUUGGUGUUUCUUCUUAUAUGGGCACUAAUUCCAUCAUGAGGGCCCCAUCCUCAUGACCUCAUCUAAACCUAAUU